ACUUCGGUACAUCGGUGACAGGUGGUGCAUGGUUGUCGUCAGCUCGUGUCGUGAGAUGUUGGGUUAAGUCCCGCAACGAGCGCAACCCCUAUUGUUAGUUGCCAUCAUUCAGUUGGGCACUCUAGCGAGACUGCCGGUAAUAAACCGGAGGAAGGUGGGGAUGACGUCAAAUCGUCAUGCCCCUUAUGACCUGGGCUACACACGUGCUACAAUGGUUGGUACAACGAGUUGCGAGUCGGUGACGGCGAGCUAAUCUCUUAAAGCCAAUCUCAGUUCGGAUUGUAGGCUGCAACUCGCCUACAUGAAGUCGGAAUCGCUAGUAAUCGCGGAUCAGCACGCCGCGGUGAAUACGUUCCCGGGCCUU
rnacentral:rRNA from 1 species